rnacentral:rRNA from 1 species
ACUCAAAUGAAUUGACGGGGACUCGCACAAGCGGUGGAUUAUGUGGUUUAAUUCGUAGGUAAACGAAGAACCUUACCCAGAUUUGAAACUGAAGAGAAAGCCCAAGAAACUGGGCCCUCGCAAGACUGUUCAGCAGGUGAUGCAUGGCCGUCGUCAGCUCGUGGUUUGAACUGUUCCCUUAAGUGGGCUAACGAGCGCAACCCUCGUCGUGUGUUACAAGUGUCACGCGAGACCGCCCCCGCCAAAGUUUUUAAGUACAACUUGAAAAUUUCGGCGGGGGAGGAAGGAGAGGAUGACGCCAGGUCAGCAUGUCCCUUUGAUAUCUGGGGCCACACACAUAAUACAAUGGCUACUACAAUAGGCUGCAAUGGAGCGAUCCGGAGCCAAUCCUAAAAGGUAGCCCUAGUUCGGAUAGGAGUCUGCAACUCGACUCCUUGAAGCUGGAAUCGCUAGUAAUCGCAGGUCAGCCAAACUGCGGUGAAUACGUUCUCGAGUCUUGCACACACCGCCCGU